rfam:Brachypodium distachyon strain Bd21 chromosome 3, whole genome shotgun sequence.
AUUCUACUCCCUGUCCAACAAAGGAUGUCUCAAGUUUCUCAAAAUUUGAAUGUAUCUAGACAUGACUUAGUGUAUGUAUGCAUUCAAAUUUAGUCAAAGUUGAGACAUCCUUUGUUGGACGGAGGGAGUACUUC